UUUCCGUAGGUGAACCUGCGGAAGGAUCAUUAUCGUACAAAAUGUGAGGGGCAUGCGCGGGAUGUAGAUGACCCAAAAGGCGUGCACGCCCGAGUGCGUAACCUUGCAUAAUUAUACAUCUCACCUUUUGUGCAUCACCGGGUGGGCACCCUUCGGGAGCAUCUCGGAGGGGGGCUCGCGCUUUCGCACAAGCCCCCCUUUUUAAAGUUUAGAAUGACCACACUUAUGCAAUUAAUACAACUUUCAACUACGGAUCACGUGGCUCUGGCAUCGAGGAAA
rnacentral:misc_RNA from 1 species